ACUCCUACGGGAGGCAGCAGUGGGGAAUCUUGGACAAUGGGCGCAAGCCUGAUCCAGCCAUGCCGCGUGAGUGAUGAAGGCCCUAGGGUCGUAAAGCUCUUUCGCCUGUGAAGAUAAUGACGGUAGCAGGUAAAGAAACCCCGGCUAACUCCGUGCCAGCAGCCGCGGUAAUACGGAGGGGUUAGCGUUGUUCGGAAUUACUGGGGCGUAAAGCGCGCGUAGGCGGAUUAGUAAGUCAGAGGUGAAAUCCCGGGGCUCAACCCCGGAACUGCCUUUGAUACUGCUAGUCUUGAGUUCGAGAGAGGUAAGUGGAAUUCCGAGUGUAGAGGUGAAAUUCGUAGAUAUUCGGAGGAACACCAGUGGCGAAGGCGGCUUACUGGCUCGAUACUGACGCUGAGGUGCGAAAGUGUGGGGAGCAAACAGGAUUAGAUACCCUGGUAGGAUAGCG
rnacentral:rRNA from 1 species